AUCGGGUAUUAUCAUGUUACUAUUUUUCCGUGAUAUUAUAUUUUCUUCAAUGCCAUACCUAACAAAUAUCUCUGUCUCUUUAUAACGAUAUCGAUCUCUCUCUCUACUCUCAGUCCAUUUCUUUAUAGGUCUAUGUUUUGGCCACAUUCGGUUAUCAAAAUCGUCGUCGAUUGACGAUUAGUGUAAAAUGUAAAUGAGCCGUUUAAUAAAUUGUCUUCAGCUAAUAGCCAUUGAUUAAAUACAUUUUGUAUUUACCUACACAGCUACCGCCUACUAUAAGUGGCUUUAGCUGGCCUUUAAAGUACAAAAAAAAGUCGUUAAAUUUUCUUUUUACAGUGUAUUUGAGAUACGAAUUAACGCGGGUAACAACUAAAACGCAAUUAUUUUUCGGACAAGAUCCAAAUGCAUCGUCCACGUUUAUGAUGACUUCGUCGGUCGAUCUCUUAUACUAGAAAACAAGAAGCGGCAUUAUAUGAUCAAAAUCACAUUCAAUAUACAUUAUAAUUUGAUUUAACGGACGCGACUGUAAAUUAGUAAUAAUAUUGUGCACGAAAACAAACACAAAAAUCAUCAUGGUGAAUUUGGUCGAACCUCCACUUCUUGCUGUCGGUACUGAGGUCAGUGCCUAGUAUAAAGGAGCAUUUUGUGAUGCAAAGAUCAGGAAAACCUCAAAAUCAGUAAAAUGCAAGAUUGGUGCAAAUGUAAUGAAAAGAAAGAGUUAUAAGAAGGAACAAUUCAAAAAAUACAGGACUAUUGUCAAAACACUGUUGGGAAAGUGGAGAGGAAGACAUUUUAGAAAUGGAAGAAAAAGACAUUGGUAACAUGGUGUGCAUAGAGUUCAAUAACAAAAAAAAAGUCAGAGACAAUUGGUUUCCCGGGUUAGUGCUAGCGCCUACUGCACAAUUUGCAGUCAAAACAAACGUUUUGGAAGACUACUUGGUUCGUUCUUUUAAAGAUGGAAAAUACUGUACAGUUUUGAAAAAAGAAAUUACAGAAUUUACAAAAGAAAUAGCCCCCAAAGUAGAAAAUCCUACUUUAAAAACGGCUGUUGAAAAAGCGAUUUUAUAUCUGGACAAAGAUGAACUUCGGCCACAUUAGGACCGUGACUUACUGUUUGGACUCGAAAAAAACUGUGUCAUGACAGUGAAGGCGUUAUAAUAUUGAUGUUGUCAUUAACUUGGGCGGUUUUAACAAAGUCAGUAAAUGUUAACAGUGGAUAACUGGCACAAAGGAUUGGCCACAAACCGUGUUUCUUCUGUCAAACAAUAUUACCUACAGUAUCUACAUAGUAUUGAAGAUUUCUACCAAAAACUCGGCUGCUUGAUGAUAAGUCAUCUUAGAGGAGUGAGAUCUGGAAGCAGAUUUAGUCGCAGUAUCAUUCAUGAUGUGGAUAAAGCGUUACCCUCUAGCAGUUUUGAUAAGAACAGGCAAACGACUAUUGCCAUUAAAUUAGAACCUAAGGAAUAAAAAGAAAAAAUAGAAACUUUCAUAAAGGAAGCCGAUAUUGUCAAAGAACCGGUGACACCAAAAAAACCUUCCAAAACUUUAAAAGUCGAAGACAAGGUUGCUUUAACUAUGAAGAGUAGUGAUAAACAUGUUGCUAAGAAAGUAGAUAAGAAAAAAUACAGGCCUGAAACAAUCGGAAAGAAAACGGAACCGUUUGUCUGAAAAAAAGCCUUUGAAAACCGUAAGGGUAGAAGAGAAGGUGGCAGCAACAUUAAAGAACAACAUUGAAAUUCCACACAAAGUUGACAGAAAAAAAGAAAAGUCUGAAAUCGUUUUGAAAGAAAAGGAAAUGGCUACUGAGUCUGUGACUAAAAAGCCAAGUAAAACGAAAAUAGAAGAAACAAUUACUUGUUCUGGUAAUAGUGCUCGAAACAAAUCUACUGUUAAGAGUGACUCUGUACUGGCUGAAUCAAAAGAUCUUCCUAAGGACAGCAAGGUUAAAAAGGAAUUUAAAGAAGCUACCGUUUAAAAAAAAAGGAAAAUGAUUGAGGAAAAACGCCAUUAUUUAAAAAAUCCAAAGAGAAGCUUCUGCUAACCAAAUUACAGCCAAACCAAAAAUCGAAGAGGAACUACCAAUGUAUUACCAUUCGUUGUCGUCAACGCUGUCGUCCGAAGACGAGCAGAUCCAGCUCAAGAAGAGAAGAAUCGUUGAUGACAAAAAACUGUCGUCGUUGCUGAAGAAACGGGGUGAAGAAUCCAAACGUUGAUUGCGUCAUACACAAGCCUAGCACGAGCAAAGGGUUUUUCUACGCCAUGCGCCAUCAACCUUAACAGCAACCCGAUCGCGAACAUCAUUUCUACGAGUCCAAAUCGCCUUCCAAAACUGAGGCGGUAGCGGUUUGUACGAACCAAGUUCGUCUAAGGUUAAUUUGUUUAGAACCCGAAAGCAAACGGUACAAUCAUAGCAAAAUAACAAUUCCUACUAAAGAUGGUAAACCGCUGGUUACGUUCACACCAGAGAUGGAUUCGGCUCAACGUCAAGCAGUGAUUUUUUUGUAUAAAAUCAACAAACUUCAAAAAGAUUACACCACGGACAAAGCACGCAUUGUAGUGCUGGAUCGCAGGAGAAAGAAGAUCAGGAAACGCAAGAGGGAACUAGCAAAGAGAACAGCCGCAGUGAAUCCGAACAAACAGUCGACAGCUGUUGCAACCAAAUAAUUCUCUCACCUAAUAACAAUACGUUUUUGUAUUUAAUGUUUUUAAUAAUAACCCCCUUAGUUGUACAUAAUUGUCAGAGUGGCUCCGUAAUGACAAUGAUUUGUUAUGAAUGUGUAAUGUGUUGGAACUUUCGCGGAUUGAAAUAUCACAUGAAUGAUUUUCGGAUAUAUCUACGUAAAUAGUUGUUUACCGACGUUUCCGACUCUUUGCAGAGUCCAUCUUCAGGGUUAUGUCACGACUAUUCCGCUGUACAGUCACGACAGCGAAACAGUUGUGACAUUACCCUGAAGAUGGACUCUGCAAAGAGUCCGAAACUACCAUUGACGCGGAUAUAUCUGAAAAUCAUUCAUGUGAAUUGAUUUGUUGUUAAUAUUAAUAUUAUUUAUUCAUAUUAACUAAUUAUUUUUCAUGUUCCUCUGUAGUGUCGGUUAAACCGUUUUUUUUCAUGUAAGCGCCUGAUCUUACUAGACACGCUAUUGUUGUAUUAUAUUAAAUAAUAAUAAAAAU